GGGUGGCCUAGUUGGGAGGGCGUUGGAUUGAUACGUGGUUUGCACGAGUUCGAGCCCCGAC
rnacentral:tRNA from 1 species